GAAGGUAUAGCUCAAGUGGCAGAGCACAUGCUCACUAUGCACGAGGUCCUGGGUUCAAUCCCUUAGUACCUCCU
rnacentral:tRNA from 1 species